rnacentral:rRNA from 1 species
UACGGAGGGUGCGAGCGUUGUCCGGAAUCACUGGGCUUAAAGCGUGUGUAGGCGGAUUGGUAAGUACUUUGUGAAAUCCCACGGCUUAACCGUGGAACUGCUUGGUAUACUGCCAGUCUUGAGCCAGCUAGGGGCUACCGGAACAAAUGGUGGAGCGGUGAAAUGCGUAGAUAUCAUUUGGAACGCCAAAGGUGAAAACAGGUAGCUGGGGCUGUGCUGACGCUGAGACACGAAAGCCAGGGGAGCAAACGGG